CGUAUGGCGACCGGCGCACGGGUGAGUAACGCGUAUGCAACCUGCCCGAUACCGGGGUAUAGCCCAUGGAAACGUGGAUUAACACCCCAUAGUACUUUUAUCCUGCCUGGGAUGGGAGUUAAAUGUUCAAGGUAUCGGAUGGGCAUGCGUCCUAUUAGUUAGUUGGCGGGGUAACAGCCCACCAAGACGAUGAUAGGUAGGGGUUCUGAGAGGAAGGUCCCCCACAUUGGAACUGAGACACGGUCCAA
rnacentral:rRNA from 1 species